rnacentral:rRNA from 1 species
UCAGUUCAGCACUAAGCCAUUUUGUCUUUAUGGCAAAUAUGGGAUGCAGUGUAUGGAACAUCUAUAAUCUAGUAUGAUAAAUUAACGAUUUAAGUCCUUCUUAAAUGAGGCCAUUUACCCAUAGAGGGUGCCAGGCCCGUAUAACGUUAAUGAUUACUAGAAGGUGUUUCCAAAGAGUCGUGUUGCUUGAUAGUGCAGCACUAAGUGGGUGGUAAACUCCAUCUAAAACUAAAUAUAACCAUGAGACCGAUAGUAAACAAGUACCGUGAGGGAAAGUUGAAAAGAACUCUGAAUAGAGAGUUAAAUAGUACGUGAAACUGCUUAGAGGUUAAGCCCGAUGAACCUGAAUAUCCGUUAUGGAAAAUUCAUCAUUAAUACUAUAAUAUUAAUUUAUUAAUAUUAUAGAAAUAGUGUGCAAUUUUUCCAUAUAAGGACAUUGUAAUCUGUUAAUGUAUUAAAUAUUUAUCAUAAGAUCUAUUAGUUAGAGUUUAUUCAAAUUAGUUAUUUUCGGAUUUCUAACAUAGAAUAAAUGUAAUAGAUUUGAUAAAUCAUUGACAGAUUUAAUUAUAUAUAGUGCUUAAAUUUGAUUUAUUAAAUUUUACAAUAAUAAAUGAAUCUAUUGAUUUUUUUAUUUAUUGUAUGCACUUAUAUGAUUAACAAUGCAAUAGAUUCAGGAUACCUUCGGGACCCGUCUUGAAACACGGACCAAGGAGUCUAACAUAUGUGCAAGUCAUUGGAUAUUUUGAAUAAAAUCCAAAGGCAUAAUUAACUUAACUGUUUUUAAAUGGGAUUAGUUUAUAUUUUAUUAUGAAAUAUAAAUUCAAUCCCGGGGCGUUCUAUAUAGUUAUGCAUAAUGAUAUUUAUAUUAUUUAUGCCUCUAACUAGAGCGUACCUUGAGCAUAUAUGCUGUGACCCGAAAGAUGGUGAACUAUACUUGAUCAGGUUGAAGUCAGGGGAAACCCUGAUGGAAGACCGAAACAGUUCUGACGUGCAAAUCGAUUGUCAGAAUUGAGUAUAGGGGCGAAAGACCAAUCGAACCAUCUAGUAGCUG